GGAUGUAGCUCAGUUGGUUAGAGCGUCGGAUUGUGGUUCCGAAGGUCGCCGGUUCGAACCCGGUCUUC
rnacentral:tRNA from 2 species